GCUACCCUGGUGUCUGCCGUGUGCACGGCCAUCUGGUCUCUCUGCCACACGUGUGCGCAACCUGUCAUGGAGAUCCCCCGAGGCGUGGCUGCCAAGGGGA
rnacentral:sRNA from 1 species